ACUGGCUGAACAAGAACAGCUGAAGUAAGGACAGUCAGAGAUGUAAAGAGUGUUAAAGAUUUGUACAGCUCAGUGUGAAACUGGCAGUUUUAAAAGAAUGGCACAAGGUACUUUCAACACCAGAAACAUGUUGAUUGAUGUGGACAACUUAGAGGGCCGAAAGCCAAAGUCAAAGCAGGGUGUGCCUGUUUAAGCAGCACUGGUCUGCAAAAUGAAUGUUAUACAGCACAGCAUGAAGGCUGAACAAACACAGGUGCAGUCUUACGAACCUGAUAUUUCUGACAUCAUCCUCACUCAUUACUUGGAGACAGAUGCUGCACAACCCUCCAUCCCCAUUGGCUGUGAGGCUCCAGCUUCUCUCAUCACUUGUCACUUUGCUUCUGGUGACAAUGCAUUGCAAAAAAUGCUAUACUGCACUGCAGGGAUAUACUAAGAUGGCUGCCCAUGUCUGAAAAGGAUGUCCUCAACUAAGAAUUUCUUUACUCCUACUCUAAAUACCUUACUUUUAUUAAAUGAAUAAAAGUACUAAGAGAUAGUGUUUGUCCUGAUAGCAUGAAGAAGGCAGCUGCCUUAAGGAAUACAUGUUUGUGGUUUGCAUCCAGAUCAUUACUAAUGUUCAGUUCAAUUCAGCGGGGCUUAUUGGCAUGGGAAACAGACAUUUACAUUGCUAAUGCAAACAUGUACAUUUACAGAAGAAUUGUGCCAUUAAAAAUAUGCACUUUGUUAA